UACGGAGGGAGCUAGCGUUGUUCGGAAUUACUGGGCGUAAAGCGCACGUAGGCGGGCGAUUAAGUCAGGGGUGAAAUCCCGGAGCUCAACUCCGGAACUGCCUUUGAUACUGGUCGUCUAGAGAUCGGAAGAGGUGAGUGGAAUUCCCAGUGUAGAGGUGAAAUUCGUAGAUAUUGGGAAGAACACCGGUGGCGAAGGCGGCGACCUGGUCCGAUACUGACGCUGAGGCGCGAAAGCGUGGGGAGCAAACAGG
rnacentral:rRNA from 1 species